UGAUGUAUACUCUUUUGGAGUGGUACUGUUUGAGACUUUAUGUGCCAGGCCUGCUGUGCUGCCAGUGAAAGAAAUUAAAGAGGAGGAAGAGUAUGAGAAAGCAAGUUUGGCACAAUGGGCAUUGCGCUGCUGCCAAAUGGGGAUUCUUGACCAGAUAAUUGAUCCAUAUCUGAAGGGAAAGAUUGCCCCUGAAUGCUUCAGGACUUUCACUGAUAUAGCAAGUAAGUGUUUAGCUGAUAAGGGAAGUGGAAGGCCGUCCAUGGGAGAUGUGUUGUGCAAUUUGGAGCUAGCAAUGCAGCAGCAGAAUGCUGCUGAUUUGCAGGAGGAGUGGGGUGCAAAAGAGGCCAAUGAAAGGAUGAAUGGUGAUGUUUGUAUAAUGAUUGAUGGUGGACAAUGCAUUUGCUCUAAUAAUUCAGAUAAGACUCCAGGAGUGGAAUUCUCUGA
rnacentral:misc_RNA from 1 species